GUGCCAUAAUGAUGUUAGGUUGUGUCCACUGGUAUGGGACAAUGAGACUUAAUGAUGUUAGGAUCUGAACAC